AUGCUCGCUUCAACAGCACAUAUACUAAAGUUGAAAAUGAUACAGAGAUUAGCAUGGCCCUUGCUCAAGGUUGACACGCAAAUUUGUGAAGAGUUGCAUAAUUUU
ensembl:snRNA U6 U6 spliceosomal RNA